AAUUCCCCAAACUUGACACCGCACAAACAAAACAAAAACAAAUCAAAAACCCUAACCCAAUUUUUCUCUUCUUCCUUCCCCAAAUCUAGAAUCGGGAUUCCCCUUCGAUCCCAACACAUGGACGACAUGGAAGACGACGCCAGGUACCCUCCCAAGUCCUUCUCCCUCAUCCGCCAGAACCCCUCCCACCGCCAUAAACACCCCCUCCGCGGCGGCGCCGCCUCCUACCACCGCCCACUCCCCCCGCGCUACGAGGAGCCCGACGACUUCGACGACGGAAACGAAGACCCCGACGAUUUCGACGACGCGGAGGACGACGAGGAGAACGGGUACGACGGCGCAAUGGAGGAAAACGACGUGGCCUAUCCCCGGAUCCCGAAGAAGCGGAAGGUAUCGGUAACGGGUGGAGGAAACUCGUACGAGUUCGCGCCACGUGUGAAAUUCUCGUACGGUUCGGGGUCGGGUUCGGAGGAGUGGAACGAGCACGAGACUUUGGUGCUGUUGGAGGUGUGGGGCGAGAAGUUUCUCCAGUUGGGGAGGAACAGUUUGAGGUUAGAGGAAUGGAACGAGGUUGCAGAGAAGGUUUCUGAGGAACUGAAAGUUGAGAGAAGCGUGGCGCAGUGUAGAAGCGUGUUGGACAAGCUGAAACGAAGGUACAAGAAGGAGAAGGCGAGAGUGGACGAAAUGGGCCUGGGCUCGUGUAAGUGGGCCUUCUUCAAGAAGAUGGACAUGUUUAUGGCUUCCUCCGCACGGCAAGAGUAUGGUCUUGCUUGUGGGGUGGAUUCUGGGGAGUAUGUGUUUAUGAACACUAGGGUUUACUUGAACAGGUCCAAUGGUUUCGAUGAGAUGAGGGACAGUCCUGGGGAGUCCGAGAGUGAUGAGGAUGACGACGACGAUUGCGCCGCCGACGACCACCACGCCGAUGAGGAGGACCAGACUUCGUUCCGGGCUUUGGCCGAUUCUAUUCACAAGUUUGGCAAGAUAUAUGAGAAGAUUGAGAACAGCAAGAGGCAGCAGAUGAUGGAGUUGGAGAAGAUGAGGCUCGAUUUCAACAGGGAGUUGGAGCUGCAGAAGAAGCAGAUUCUCGAGAGGGCUCAGGCUGAGAUUGCCAAGAUACAAGAAGGGGACCAGGAGGUGGAGGAGGAGGAGGAGGACGAUACCGACACUUCCGCCGAGAAUCUCAGUGAAUGAAUCAUGUAGGUAGCCUUCGUUUGGUUUGCUUGGAAGAGCUUAUUUAUAGCUUAAUUCAUGAUAUAAACACUUGUGAGAUAUAAUCUUGGAAAGGGUGAUGAAUGAUGAUAUCUAUAUGAAUAGAGUGCACCAGUUUUGAAGGAAAGAUUGUUUACAAACUGCCAUAGAGCUGCACGCUGGAAGGUUUUCAACCCUUGUGUACCCUGAUAAUAUUAAUAGGGAAGUUGAUUAGAAAGAGUAAUAUUUUUGUAUGGGUAACCUGCUAUAAAUUUUGGGGGCACUUUUAAAUAAUUUGCAGAACAUUUCUGUAACUCAUUUCAUCCGAACAUAUACCUUUGGAUGGAAAUUAAAUGUUAAUAGUAUGUUAAACUUAAGUGCA